rnacentral:rRNA from 1 species
UGAAUACGAGACGCUAAGGCGUCGAAGUAGUGUAUGUCAUACUUCCAAGAAAAGCUUGCACUGUCAUAGAUAAAAAACGCCUGUACCAUAACCGACACAGGUGGGUAGGCAGAGUAUACUAAGGGGCGCGAGAUAACUCUCUCUAAGGAACUCGGCAAAAUAACUCCGUAACUUCGGGAGAAGGAGUGCCUUAUUCUUAAGGUUGCAAUAACAAGAUCCAAGCAACUGUUUAUCAAAAACACAGGUCUCCGCUAAGUCGUAAGACGAUGUAUGGGGGCUGACGCCUGCCCAGUGCCAGAAGGUUAAAGAAGCUGGUUAGCAUUUGCGAAGCUAGUAACUGAAGCCCUGGUGAACGGCGGCCGUAACUAUAACGGUCCUAAGGUAGCGAAAUUCCUUGUCGGGUAAGUUCCGACCCGCACGAAAGGCGUAAUGAUUUGGAUACUGUCUCGGAGAGGGGCUCGGUGAAAUAGACUUGUCUGUGAAGAUGCGGACUACCUGCACCAGGACAGAAAGACCCUAUGAAGCUUUACUGUAACUUGAAAUUGAAAUUGGACUUUAUUCGCGCAGUAUAGGUGGGAGGCGUUGAUUAUAAUCUUGCGGGAUUAUUGGAGCCAUUAGUGAGAUACCACUCUUGUAAUGUUAGAUUUCUAACUUUGAAUCAUUAUCUGGUCAAAGAACAGUUUCAGGCGGGCAGUUUGACUGGGGCGGUCGCCUCCUAAACGGUAACGGAGGCGUACAAAGGUUUCCUCUGAACGGUUAGAAAUCGUAUCUAGAGUGUAAAGGCAUAAGGAAGCUUGACUGUGAGACCUACAAGUCGAGCAGGGACGAAAGUCGGUCUUAGUGAUCUGACGGUACUGAGUGGAAAGGCCGUCACUCAACGGAUAAAAGUUACUCUAGGAUAACAGGCUGAUCUCCCCCAAGAUUUCACAUCGACGGGGAGGUUUGGCACCUCGAUGUCGGCUCAUCGCAUCCUGGGGCGGUAGUACGUCCCAAGGGUUGGGCUGUUCGCCCAUGAAAGCGGUACGCGAGCUGGGUUCAGAACGUCGUGAGACAGUUCGGUCCAUAUCCGGUGUAGGCGUUAGAAUAUUGAGAGGAGCCUUCUUUAGUACGAGAGGACCGAGAAGGACAUACCUCUGGUGUACCAGUUAUCGUGCCAACGGUAAACGCUGGGUAGCUAUGUAUGGAGUGGAUAACCGCUGAAAGCAUCUAAGUGGGAAGCCCACCUCAAGAUAAGUAUUCUCAC